GUGGGGAAUUUUGGACAAUGGGCGCAAGCCUGAUCCAGCAAUGCCGCGUGCAGGAAGAAGGCCUUCGGGUUGUAAAGCUCUUUAGCCGAUGAUUAUAAUGACUGUAGUCGGAAAAUAAGCCCCGGCUAACUUCGUGCCAGCAGCCGCGGUAAUACGAAGGGGGCGAGCGUUAUUCGGAAUCACUGGGCGUAAAGCGUGCGUAGGCGGCUUUGCAAGUUGGGAGUGAAAGCCCAGGGCUCAACCCUGGAAUUGCUCUCAAAACUGCAAGGCUCGAGUUCGGGAGAGGAUAGCGGAAUUGUCAGUGUAGCAGUGAAAUGCGUAGAUAUUGACAGGAACACCAGUGGCGUAAGCGGCUAUCUGGACCGAUAUUGACGCUGAGGCACGAAAGCGUGGGGAUCAAACAGGAUUAGAAACCCCGGUAGUCC
rnacentral:rRNA from 1 species